rnacentral:rRNA from 1 species
CUGUCUGAAUCUGCCGGGACCAUCCGGUAAGGCUAAAUACUAACCAGACACCGAUAGUGAACUAGUACCGUGAGGGAAAGGUGAAAAGAACCCCGGGAGGGGAGUGAAAUAGAUUCUGAAACUACUUACUUACAAUUAGUCAGAGCACGUUAAUGUGUGAUGGCGUACAUCUUGCAGUAUGGACCGGCGAGUUAUGUUAACAUGCGAGGUUAAGUGGAUAAAAGCGGAGCCGAAGAGAAAUCGAGUCUGAAUAGGGCGAAUUAGUAUGUUGACAUAGACCCGAAACCAGGUGAUCUAUUCAUGAGCAGGUUGAAGCUUAGGUAAUACUAAGUGGAGGACCGAACCGUAGUACGCUGAAAAGUGCCCGGAUGACUUGUGAAUAGCGGUGAAAUUCCAAUCGAACCUGGAUAUAGCUGGUUCUCCUCGAAAUAGCUUUAGGGCUAGCGUGUGAUGUUAAACUUUGGUGGUAGAGCACUGAAUAUGGAAUGGCGGCGCCUAGCUGUACUGACUAUAAUCAAACUCCGAAUACCAUUGUGUAUUAUCAUGCAGUCGGAACAUCGGUGAUAACGUCGAUGCUCGCGAGGGUAACAACCCAGAUCGUCAGCUAAGGUCCCAAAAUUUAUGUUAAGUGAUAAAGGUUGUGAGGUUUCUCAAACAACUAGGAAGUUGGCUUAGAAGCAGCCAUCUUUUAAAGAGUGCGUAAUAGCUCACUAGUCAAGAGACCUUGCGCCGACAAUGUAACGGGACUAAACAUAAUACCGAAGCUACGGGCAUUAUUAAAUGCGUUAGAGGAGCGUUCUAAGGACGGCGAAGCUAAACCGUGAGGAUUAGUGGAGUGCUUAGAAGUGAGAAUGCCGGUAUGAGUAACGAUUCAGAGUGAGAAUCUCUGACGCCUAUUGGGAAAGGUUUCCUGGGGAAGGUUCGUCCACCCAGGGUUAGUCGGGUCCUAAGAUCAGGCUGAAAAGCGUAGUCGAUGGAUAACAGGUUAAUAUUCCUGUACUUCCGAUAGUAAGUGAUGGAGUGACGGAGAAGGAUAAUUCUACCAAUUAAUGGAUUUUGGGGCAAGGAAAUGAGGGGUCAAUGUAGGCAAAUCCGCAUUGUUUAACCUUGAGUUCUGAUGCAUAGGGAAAGUUUCGACAAUUACCGAAUUGAAUGAUUUCACGCUUCCAAGAAAAGCUUCUAAACGUUAUAAAACUAUAGGAACCCGUACCGAGAACGGACACACGUUCCCAAGAUGAGUAUUCUAAGGCGAGCGAGAAAACCAAUGUUAAGGAACUCUGCAAAUUCACCCCGUAAGUUCGCGAGAAGGGGGGCCAUUCUUUGAAUGGCAACAUUAAAUUGUGAGGGGCAACUGUUUAUCAAAAACACAGCUCUCUGCUAAGUCGCAAGACGAUGUAUAGGGGGUGAAGUCUGCCCAGUGCCCGAAGGUUAAGUGGAGCUGUUAGCUUACGCAAAGCAGCAAAAUGAAGCCCGGGUGAACGGCGGCUGUAAC